GGUAUUUGGGAUUGUUGAAACUUGCUUGAAGCUACCCAAACCUUGGGUUUUGGUUUGGUGAUCUUGUGCGGCACUUUGCGGGUCAAACCUAGGAUUGUUGGAACCAAGAGUAUGAGCAACCCAAGGUACUCCAGAGUUAGAUGACGAUCCAGUAGCGUUAUAUCUGGGAUAUUACGACUGAGGCACACCGUGACAGUUGUAAUGGGUUGGACUAUGGUGUCCACUGUUUUGGUAUAUUUUGUAUAUGGCUUGUGAGGUGGGUGUCACGUAUUCUUUUGUUAUAAGCCAUU